AUACGGAGGGUGCAAGCGUUAUUCGGAAUCACUGGGCGUAAAGGACGCGUAGGCGGGUUGGCAAGUCAGAUGUGAAAUCCUACAGCUUAACUGUAGAACUGCAUUUGAAACUGCUAACCUAGAGUAUGAGAGGGGGAGAUGGAAUUAGUGGUGUAGGGGUAAAAUCCGUAGAUAUCACUAGGAAUACCCGAAGCGAAGGCGAUCUCCUGGAACAUUACUGACGCUAAGGCGUGAAAGCGUGGGGAGCAAACGGAAUUAGAAACCCUAGUAGUCC
rnacentral:rRNA from 1 species